rnacentral:rRNA from 1 species
CGGUGGUCCCACCUGACCCCAUGCCGAACUCAGAAGUGAAACGCCGUAGCGCCGAUGGUAGUGUGGGGUUUCCCCAUGUGAGAGUAGGGAACUGCCAGAC